AACAUAGGAAGAGAGAGGCACAAUGAAAGAUUCAUGAUUGGACAAGUGACCUGUUACAUAGGGGAAACCUGCAGACCCAGUAUCUAAUAAUAGCCACCUGCCCAUUCCUUAAACUAAUGUUAACUAGUAAGCUGGAUUGUUUUUUCAAUGCCCCAAAAAGCAGAGAAGAAAUCAUAGCUAGAGCAUUGCAAUGCAUGUUAGAGAACUGGUUUAAUGCAAAGACUACAUUUUUCAAAACUACUAAGUAUCUGGAUUUCUGUAACUAAUUUCUACCACCAAAUAGGAAGUUAGAGAUAGUGUAAUGGCUUGUAUAUGUUUGGGCAGAGGAGUGGCACUAUUAGGAGGUGUGACCUUGUUGGAGUAGGUGUGUCAUUGUGGAUAUGGGUUUUAAUACCCUACCCCUAGCUGCCUGGAAGGAAGUAUUCUGCUAGCAGCCUUCAGAUGAAAAUGUGGAACUCUUAGCUCCUCCUGCACCAUGCCUGCCUAGAUGCUGCCAUGCUCCUGCCUUGAUGAUAAUGGGCUGAACCUCUGAAUCUGUUUACAGCAAUGAACCGAGGCAGGCAUCUGAGGAGCCAGAGAGGAACUGAUGGGAAGAGCAUCCUCCUAGAGCCUCUGUUUGCCGUGAUCUAUAAAAUGGAGCUCAGCAUUCAUUUACAUCAGAGUAAGCAAGGAGGAUUAUCUGACAUAACAUGUAAAGGACGGGAAUCGUGUUGAGGGUAGUACACAUGCGAUAAGUCAGAUGAUUUUGUGUUUUGUGCAUCCUCCAAUUUUAAAACUACCUAAUUACCACCAGUAGGUAACGUUUCCUACUUGUCACUGUUUAAGGAAACCAAGAAGACAAAUGAUGCGUCUAUUAUCAUAAGAGUCCCCUACACCCUGAAAUAUUCAAAAAUAGCGUGUAACUUGCAGGAGUCAGUCCUCUCCUUCCACCACAUCACUCAUGAUGAUAAAACUCAUGUGGCCAGCAGCUGCAUUUAUCCAUGGACCCAUCUUGCCAGGCCAUGACCUGGGAAGGACAUCAGCAUGAGGAUACAGGUGAAACCGAAUUGGCUGUGAGUUUGUAAUGGUAAAUCUGAAUGUUGGAUAUGUAGUGGUUGUAUGUAUUUUUCUGUCUGAUAAAUGUUUUAAUUUUUUCCAUGACAAAAAUAAGAGAAAGAAAGAAAACUAGGGGAAAGAAAAGAAUUGGUAACUAUGGUGUUCAAAAAGUAUCUGUUAAAACUAUUCCAGGCUUAAGACAAAGGAAAAGGGAUGAGGAUUUUUUUCCUUUUACACAGAAUAACUAGAAAUCCCUAGAAAGAUGCCAGGUGGCUCAAGACACAAGGAUAUACUGUCACACUUAUGGAUGAGAUUAGUUUCCAAUUGGCUUCAAAUUGAUUCCAGGGUCAGGAGUUUUAGAAGAAGCUCCAUAAAUAACUUGCAUAGUGGAACUAUGUAUAAUAAUCACUCAUUUGACAUUUUCUGCUUUCCAGUUUUUAUUUUUAAAUGCAUAUAAAAUUUCUCAGCUAUGAGCCUUUUUUUCUCUUCCUACAUCUGGUACCCAUGAUACACAAAAGGCCAGUUCUCUAUUUUUAGCUUUUGUGGGUCUGAGCAUUACUUCUAGGUUCAAUAAAUUAAAAUGUUCAUUGAUACAUGUUUGGAGGACAAGGUAAUUUCAUAAACUGGGUGCUGAAUAUCAAUGGACUCAUGUAGAAUUAUGAUGAUUUUGAUAAAAUAUAAUAAUGUCUUAUUAACUGCAUAAACCACCGAAGCAUAAUAUGAAGUGUUGGCAUAGUAAUCAAAAUCAAACUAACAGAGGUGUCCCCACUUGUAUUUGUGAAACCACGAUACUUAUAAAGCUUAGUAACUGUAUUCAAACAGCUUUCUAUUUAUUCCUGCCUGUGUUGAUGAGUAUCAAGUCUCAAUUAGUGGGCUAACCACAUUAUUUUUCAAAUUAAUGUCUAAUUUGUAAAUAUCUAUUAUAUCUUUGCUUGGGCCGUAAAAACUCGUAAGAAAAAUCAAUUUCUGCCUAAAACAAAACGAAACAAAACCAAAAGCUGAACGUUAGUAUUCACCUUAGAAGCAAAGCCUUCUACAACAUUUGCUGUUUGCUUGUCUUGAAUUGACCUCCACACUAGCUUGCAUAAGAAGGACAAAUUCUAGAUCAUAGAAAUCAUGAUCUAGAACUUGCUUAAACUCAUAAAUAUAGAUGACAAGGUCCUUUCGGAUCUGUCUCCAAUGCCACAUCUCAGAGCGACAGGAAAUCCUCUUCGUGAAUCAUUCUGUGUGGAUUGACUUGAACUUUACAUAACCAGUGGACAGCUUUGUGACUGCUGUAAGGGACUGCAAACCUCCAGUUGCAUUAAACUUGUUAUAGCAAGGGUGUCUGCACUUGGAAAGAUUCCAACUAGUGCUCCACCAGGGAAAUUUUUCCUUUAUACUUAUCCUUGAUGGUUUAUGCUUGAUGUAGCAGUUUGGUCAGGUAGAAAACCUGGCUUUCAUCAUUUCUGGUUUCAAACUGUCUCUUAACACCCUAAGACUGAAAUAAUGAGUGAGUCUUCUUCAAUGUUUCUUCAAACAAAUGUUUCUCAAAAUCAUAGAGAAAUAUAUAGUCCCCCACACCCAAGUAAUUCAUUGCUAUUUCAAUUUGUUCCUGGAAACAUGCAAAUUACAAUGUUUUGUAUUGAGGAAAUGUAUCUUCUAGUAUGUUAAAUUGUGAAAAAUAAUGUGUGUGUUCUUAGCCAUACUAAAGACAAUCAUUAAAAUACUCUUAAGCCU
ensembl:antisense